CGUAGGCGGCCAAGCAAGUCCUGGGUGAAAUCCCUCGGCUCAACCGAGGAACUGCCUCGGAAACUGCAUGGCUUGAGGCCGGGAGAGGGUAGCGGAAUUCCCAGUGUAGCGGUGAAAUGCGUAGAUAUUGGGAGGAACACCGGUGGCGAAGGCGGCUACCUGGACCGGUUCUGACGCUGAUGCGCGAAAGCGUGGGGAAGCAAACA
rnacentral:rRNA from 1 species